UCUAUUGUUUCGUUUCCAUAUACUUCCCACUGGUUAAUCUACCUCUGAUGAUGUUGAAAACAUAGCAAAGCCCUUUUUCUGUUUAGAUUAACUUUAGUAUUUAUAACACCGAUUUUCAGCUCCAAUUUCUGUUGGGGAUUAAUGAUUAUGAUGUUUCCUACUUUCUUUGAAUGCUCUACAUGUUUGCUUUUAGAAUCUUUAUAUAUUCUCCAUGUCAAUUUCCUUUGCUCUCCUUUUAAUUCUCCAAGCAAAUUUAAUAUGGACAGUUGAGUGCAAAACUGAAACUUGUUCUUUUACUUAACUGUAACUAUUUGUUAAUAGGAAUGUCCUGUUCUAGUCUUUUUCACUUCCCCUUGCAGCACCUAAGAUUUUCUUAGCCUACCAGCUAACGUAUGAUCUUUUGGCAGAUGAAAAACCAUUGUCAAGUUAGCCAAGCUUGCUCUUGCCCUUUCUGUAUGCUAAGUGUUAUUCCUACAAUUUCUCUCUCUUUAUAUCAUCUAUUAUAAUAUAAUGCCUUAAGUCCCUUACUCUUUUCUUCACUUGUUGUCUUUCGACCAUUAAUAUUUUUUUCACUACAACUCAUUCUACCUCUUCUCACCGGAUUACCUUUCAUCAUAUUUUUCCAGUUCAUGAAAAUCCAACUUCAGGUGUCAGAUAUAGGUUUGGAACCUUGGACAAAUACAAGGUACCAGUAGAUAAAAUGUCUAUCUAUGCUCUCUCUCUCUCUCUCUCUCUCUCUCUAAUCUUGUGUUGCUUUUCAUAAUCUGACUGUAGGGAGUGCUAUAUUAUUCUGUUAGUUCUAUGCUUUGUAUGAAUAAGCUAUUAGGCACCCUUCUAGAACUAAUUCCAGGCUGUGAGCUUGGCGUGAUCAGCUCUUAUGGUGAAACCCCUGCUUCAGAUCUAUUCCUCAGUGUUAUACUACUAUUUUUCUUUCUGAAUCUGCUUUUCUAUUCUCGUUAAUUCUGUUGAGAACUUGCAAAAUGCUUCAUGACUUCAGGUUCUCCAGAAUAUGUAGAAAGUUCUUUUUCUAUCACCAAGAUACUCUCCAUGGUCAUGUGUUGAAAGAAUACCAAAUAGUUUUACUUCCCUGUUUCCUUGAGGAAAUUCUUAUAGUUAGGAUCAUGUUUCAUUGCCAUUAAUCUUCGUAUGAAUGGAGGCCAAAAUUUAUUGUUGCAUGUUGUGCUGAUACAAUCCAUAUGAUGGUGGUGAGAAUAGAUGUAAGAUCAUCAGGAGUCGAAAGUUUAGGCCACCAAUUCCAAGUUGAUGACGCCUUGUACAAAGCUUGAAGUUUCAUACUAAAAUAAUUCGACUCAGGAUCUCAAUGGUGGACCAUAUAAGAAGGCCAUCAGAGGCACAAGGAUAAUCUUCUAUGGUUAGUCGUAUCCCUUUGGUUCCUGUUGGGUCUGGUUUUACAUAAUCUACAUUAACACAACAAAAUUGAUGCCAGUUAGCUUGAGCAGCUUUUGUGUUACUAUUGCCUAAUGUUCUGAAGUUGAUGAAACUAGCCAUAUUAUUUUGCAAUCUAAAAUUUAGAAGUUCCAAAUCUUAAGAGUAAGAUAAUACCUUCUAUUUAGAUCAGCAGGAAGGGCAUCCAUGUCAAAACGCCCGUCUCGAUAGACUGAGGCACUAAUAUGCAUAAUUUAUUUAGCUGGGGCGAAAGAGAAUUCAAUGAUUCAUCCAGCAUUGAUGGGAAAUCCACGGGCUUGUGCAUUUAUUUCUAGGGCGUAUUGCAUGUGUGAAUGGAGAAGCUUGGAUAUGGGAUUCAUUUUGCUCAAUUUCCUCUAUGCAAGCAUUAUGGAAAAGCAACUGCAAUACCGCAUGCCAAUGUGAUGAACAAGUUGAUGAAGACCAGCAUCACUGGAGCAUACAUGGGCUUUUGCUAGGAGCCAGUUGGUGGUGGCAUUUACAGGAGUAAGAAGCUGUUUUGAUGGGUGAUUUCGAUUUACUGAUGGAGGUCGAGUUUCUAUAAUGGAGUUAAAAAGAAAAUUGUACGCGUUGCACAUACGCUUUUCAGUUACAGGGGGUCUGUAUACAAGAUGCAGGAUCGUCAAUCCUAAGUAGUUCCAUUAAGUACCGAUUAACUGUGUUAAUCUUGUUAUGCAUUUAGAAUUAAGUAGGAGAUUCAUAUUCUACUGAGCUGUUAACAUGUGGUGUUGUAUUCAUUUGAAAAUCAAUACAUGGAACCCAAUGUUAAUUGGCA